GAUCAUUCUGAGUUCCCCCAGGAGUGAGUCUCAGCUUGAUGCCAGCCCAUCUUUACCACCAUCUCAGACUUGCUGACUUUCCUUUCUAACAAGGGGACGCCCACUCUGGCUGCUCUGAGAGCACCUGUGACCAGAACACAAAGGACACCAUGAGCUGCAAACUGCUAAACACGCCCGGGAAAUGAUAAGUAGUGCCAGUCGAGGCUCCUCAGUGCCAAGCCAGCCAGUAUCCUCUCCUCUCCAAACACCGAAAGCCCUGGGAAUUCCCUGGAGGAGAGGAAGGAACCAGAUGCCUGAAAUGAGCUUGCCCCAGGCCGGGAAGCUGUGCGCGGCCCUGCGAGCACCUGGUGCCCUCUAGUGGCCACAGGCGGCCCUGCAGGGCCACAUUUUCUGGGGAGGGCGCAGAGACCCCACUCACUCUUCAAUUGAACUUGCUAACAGGUUUAAACUGCAGGAUCUGCCUUUGACAACAAGAUAAGGAGGGGACAGGGGAGGGAGGGUGCCAGGAUGUUCUUUUUGUGCCAGAAAUGGACAAAGCUGGCGGCUACUAAUAGACUUCGUCCUUCUAAUGCUGCCCGAGGGGCUGGACUGGCCCCGUCCCUGUUUCCCCAUCCGCCUGGAUUCCUGGCUGAGCCCAGAGCUCCCACGUGGACACUCUGGGGCGGAUCAUUGGCCAAGGACUCACAGAGUUGGGACCGACUUUGUUAAAGCACUGAACUAGCUUCCUUGGAGCCCCAAAGGGAGGGGCGGGACCUUCACUUCAGAAAUAAGAAGACAGACUCAGAGAGGGUUUGUGGCUUUCCCAAAGAUACCUCAUUCCAGGAUUUGAACCCCAGUCUCUCACUCGAGACCCCAGGGUUAACAAUCUUUCCCAGGAAGAGCACGGAAGGUAUUUUCUCGCUGUAAAUCAGCAGCAGAUAGGGUUUGUCUAUCUUGACGACGAGUGGUGUCUCCAUGGGCAGAGUCUGUGCUCCGGUGCCAGCGGCCCCUUCCGUACCCCUCUCAUCCAUCUUCAGCUCAGCCUUGUGCACAGCCUACGGAAGCCAAGGGCAAAGUCAAGGUCUGCCAAGCUCCUUGGCGACCACAGUGGGCCGGAGGCCCAGAGAGGAUCAGAGAGGAAGACCACUUGGCCCAAGCCAUCCAGCACAGCAGUAACUUGGUUUACUCCAGGGUUCCUGGCUCUUUCGCCAUUAAUGCUGGAGAAUAUUCGACAAGCAGAUGCCGUGUGAAGGAAAAGAUGGUGCAGGGGGAGCAUCAGUUACGGGAGUCGGUGGGGGGAGAGAUGGAGUGGGGUUUGCUUCUCUUUCUCAUGGGUUACAGGGAAGCAUCAACCAUAGCCGUGGCAGAAAGGUCUACUGGGCUGUAGCUGGGUGAAAGUGAGGUGGUGGUACCCCCACCCUGAAGCCUCCAGCACCUCCUUUCAUCCACCUGGUGGAUGGUUAAGAGGGAGAAGGAUUCUGGAUUAGCUCUUUGAGAUGACUUGCAUCCCAAAUCCACUCCAAAGGCAUCAACGUCUGUAAACAGGUGAUCAGUACUGGGAAACUAACGGGCAUGUGUGAAAUCCUGGCACAUUUCUUGCUAGCCUACAAAAUUCUCACAAUUUUACUUGCAGAAAACAGGACAGUAUCCUGUGUUACAAUCACAGCUAUCAGCAAACGUAACUACAGAAAGAAAUGAGCCAUUAAACUCAACAAGACCUUCAGAGCUGGUGUUAAAUGUUUGUGGGAAGUCUGUGGCAGGAAAGCUCAAAAGUGAGAAAAUUCUAGUAACUAUGUUUCUUAUGUCAACGUGAAAAAUACAGUGGAAUCUGUGCCAUCUGAUUCAGAGCAGCGGGCUCAGCUUGGCAAGCUGGAUCCUUCCCAGACUGGCUUGAACCUCCCACUUUAUCUCCACUAAGCACCCAAUCCCCACCACCCACUACUCCAUGAUAUCCAAAAACCCCCAGCCUUGGCCACACUGCUGCACCCAUCCCCGCACCCAUCUCUGCUUGUUGAAAUCUUUCCCCUCCUUCAAUGCCUUUUUAACCCCAAAGUAGGGUUGCCAGGUGAAAUACAGGACAUCCACUGAAAUUUGAAUUCAAGAUAAACAAUGAAUAUGUUUUAGUGUAAGUGUGUCCCGUGAAAUAUUCUGAACAUACUGGCACUAAAAAUAUUAUUCAUCAUUUAUCUAAAAUUCAAAUUUAAUUGGGUAUCCUGUAUGAAAUCUGCUAAAUCCGGUGACUCUACCUAUAUGGUGCUCUCUUCUUGCCCCAGACAGUCAGGUGCUCACCUUUGCCAGGGGCCACAGGCCCCUUUGCUUGGUCAUCUCUUCCUAUGCAGCAUAUGCUUAUGCCAACUCAUAUGAAACAUGUGGCCUUGGGCGCGGUGGCUCACGCCUGUAAUCCCAGCACUUUGGGAGGCCAAGGUGGGUGGAUGACCUGAGGUCAGGAGUUUGAGACCAGCCUGGCCAACAUGGUGAAACCCUGUCUCUACUAAAAAUACAAAAAAAUUAGCCGGGCAUGGUGGCGGGCGCCUGUAAUCCCAGCUACUCGGGAGGCUGAGGCAGGAGAAUUGCUUGAACCUGGGAGGUGGAGGUUGCAGUGAGCUGAGAUCGCACCACUGUACUCCAGCCUGGGUGACAGUGCAAGACUCCUUCAAAAAACAAAAUAAAAGAAAGAAAGGAAGGAAGGAAGGAAGAGAGAGAGAGAGAGAGAAAGAAAGAAAGAAAGAAAAAAAGAGAGAGAGAGACAGAGAAAGAAAAAGAAAGAAAGAGAGAAAGAGAGAGAGAAAGAGGAAAGAAAGAGAGAGAGAAAGAGAGAAAGAAAGAGAAAGAAAGAAAGAAAAGAAAGAAAGAAAGACGGAUGUGGCCUUUGAGAGAGGGUCUGGGUUAGACCUAGACCAGUUCUAGGCCUGAUAACUGUUCCAGGCCUUGAUCAACGUUUGCUACAUUGAAUUGAUUUCCAAAAUAGCAGCAGUUUUAAAGACUGGAAGCAUGAGGCUGGGGGAGGUUAUGUGGUUUGCCCAGGAUCACGGGGUUGGUAAGGGGCACAGCUGCAUUCAUGCCCGCCCCGACUGGUGGGUGGAGUCUCGGCUCUGACAGCCACUGUGACCCUGGCUCUGGCCCCGGCUGGGGGAAGGCCCCUGUGCUGCAGGGAGUGGAGUCCAGGCUAGGCAGGCUUACCUCGCCCACUUUCAGGCUGCGAUGAGGGGCGAUCUUGGUGAGAUCACCAUGUUCCUCAAAGAUUUUGGAGACACCUAUGUAGGAGAGAGUCUUCUUCAGGUCGAAGGUGCCCGUCAUGUGGAGUCUGGGUACAGACACGUCUACGACCCUGGGGAAUUGACACGACAAGGGUGAGUGGUCAAGUCCUGUUGUGUUGCAGGGCAAGCCUCAGGAUACAUGACCAAUGAAACAUGUGUCCUCCCAGCCCCAAAGGUCUCCAAUCUCUCUCCAUCCACAGAAUGAGGAGGGGCUCCUUAACCCUGGGACCCUGGUUUCAAAACACCAUAAGCUCUCUGAACCGUGUCCCUGCCUCCCAGCACACCUGCCCCAGAGCCCUCUACAGGGAGUGUUCUCAAGUCUCAAGUUCCCCCGUCUCAGAGCCCCUUCAGCCACAGUCACUGAUGAUGUCCACACUGUAGUCGCUGCCAUGCCUGAGCCCUGAGCCCAUCCUGACCCCAGAAGACCUGACACUGGAGGGAACAAGGCACCCAGAAUCUGGAGGUAGACAGAACUGAGUUCAAAUCCACUCUGCCUCUCAUGAGCUCUGUGACCUUCCCUCUCUAAGUCACUUGUGUGAGAAGGAAAAUGAUCACCGUCGCUCCUGCGGGACACUAGGGGUGCUAAGGCAAAUGCAGACAAGGCACUCAGCAGACAGUUGGUGCGUAGCAGGUGCCCAUCCUCCUGCCCUCCAACUAGCAGCUUCACAUCCUCUGUGGCUGAACCGCGAUCAGCCUCCUGCCCGGAGCCUGGGGCCCAGGCUCUCCUGAGGUACCUGCAGACCCUGGAUUCCCGUUCACCUGGCCUUGCACCCUAUUUUCCCACCUACCCAAGGAUCUCAUUCCUGCCUAUGUGUCCUCUCUCUCCUGCAUCAUCCUUAAACAGUGCCCCUUUGAUCCUCCUCUGGAGGAGGCCUCAUGCUAGAGUGACCCUAUCCUCAAAAACUAACACCAAGAGAUCUCUCUUGGCCCUGAAUAGCCUCUCCAGCUUCCAGCUCAUUUCUUUUCUUCCUUUUAUAGCAGCUAUCUCCACUCCCUCCCACAAUUGCCUCAGUCCACUCCAGUCGGCUCUUUGACCUCAACUUUUUAUGGAAGCAACUCUUUCCAGAGUCACCGUUGACAACCAGCCCCACGUCCCAGAGCCAGCUCUCAGUGAGCCGCACGUGAUGGUAAUCCCUUUCUCCAAGGUGAAGCAUUCCAGGUCCACCCCUUGAGGCUUCUCCUCCUUCCCCACCACUCCUGCCCCUGUCGGGCUCCACCCCUCCCAUCUCUACCGGUGACACUGCUGCUUCCAGGCUCAGACCUUGGUCCCCUUCUCUUUUCCACCUUCACUCCAUCCCCAUACAUGUCAUUCAGUCUCACAGCUUUGAAUAUCAUCAACAGGCCCAACGACUCCCAAAUUUACCUUUCCACUCAUUCAUUCACUCAACAAACAUUUAUUAAAUCUCUACUGUAUACCAGGUGCUGUUCUAGGUGCUGGAGAUGCAUCUAUGAACAGAGCAGGCAAAGAUCCCUGCCCCUGACUGUGUGUUCUAGCAGGGAAGACAGGUGAUAGAAUCAACACAACAAAAAGUACCACUUAAGCCUACAUACAUGUACUAGCGGUAUGCAGAAGGCAGUAAGUGCUAUGGAAAAAAAUAAAUAGAUUGACUUGCAGGAAUCGAGGAUUGGUCCAAAGUUUGAGCAAACCUUGAGGCAGGCAAGAGAGUUAGACAAAUUGGGGUUUUUUUUCCUGAAUAAAAUGGGGAGUCACUGUCGGGUUUUGAACAGAGGAGUGACAUAGUCUUGCUUAGGAUUUAAAAGGAUCAUUCUGUUGCCUCUGUUAAGAAUAUACUCUUGGUGGUGGUGGUGUGUGUAGUGGGGAUGGGCAAAAAUUGAUGCUGGGAGACCAUUUGGAAGCUAGUGUGGUAGUCACAUGUUGGGAGCCACAGAGACGGCGGAAAGAUACCAAAUUCCAGAUGUGGUUUGCUGUAGGCUAAAGGAGUUUCCUGACAGACUGAAUGAGGCAUUUGAGGGUGGUCAGGGUGACUCCAAGGUUUUUGGCUUGAGCAACUAAAAAGAUGGAGUCACCACUGAUUGAGAUGGGCAGGCUUGGGGAGGUUCUCUGGGGACAGAUCAGGAAGUCAUUCUGGAUGUGUUGACACUAAGCUCCAAUUACACAUCCUGGGGACAUUCUGGGUAAACAGAAAGAUCCACGACUCUGGAAUUUGGGGGAGAACAGGGGCUGGGGAUGGAAGCAUGGCAGUCGUGGUAAUAGAGAUGGUGUUUAAAGCUCUUAGCCUGUGAGCUCACUCAGGGGUAAGUAUAGACAGAAAAGAAGGCUGGGAACUGAGCCCUGAGACACUCACCUCUGAGACCUGGAGGAGGAGAGGGGUCUCCAGCAAAGGAGAUUGAGGAGGGGAGAGGUGGGAGGUGAUGUGAGAGUGGAGAGCUGGAAGCCAAAUGAAGAGUGCCUUAAGGAGGUGGGGACAGAAACCAGCCGAAGAGCGAGGCCUGAGACUGACUGCACUCUGCAACACAGACACCCUUGGGACCCUGGGAAGGGAGCUUUCUGUGAGAAGUGGGUGCAGAAGCUGGACUGGAGUGGAUUUAGGAGAGGAUGAGAGGAACUAGGGGCUGUGAACAGAGGCAACUGCUUCAUGGUAUUCACCUGCAAAGGGGGAGUGACGAAAUGGAGGAAUAACUGGGGGAAAGCAGAGGUCAAGAGAAGCUUUUAUGUUGGGAAAAAUAAUAGCAUUGAGAUUUCCUGCAGGCCAGCACAAGCCAUACAGGCCUGCCUGCACAGAAGGCAGACACCUGCUUUGUCUUCUUGCAUAGAAGCCACUUCUAUGAGCUGUAAGUUUUCCCUGGCCCCCUGCGAGGUUUCAUGAUAGGAAAGAUAAGGGCAUCUUUGUAUCUGAUGGAAAUGAUUCAGAAGAGAGAAAAACAUAUGCUGAUGUAGGAAAGUGAGGAGAGGAUUUCUAGGGUGAUGUUCCUGAGUAGCAGGGGGCCGUAGGUCCAGUGCGUAAAUGAGGAGAUCGGCUUUAGUUUGUGCCAACGUGGGAAGGCACUAAGUGCAGCUGUGCUGACAGGCCAGAAGUGACUGGGUAGGCAAGACAUCCCUGGGGUGAGAGGAACCUUCCUUUCUAUGGCCCUCCUGGUGGGGAGGCCUGGCCUCAAGUCAAGGAGAUGCGGAAAGCAGUCCCAGAGGGAUGGGGGAGGCAGACCAGGCACUAGAAAAAUGGAAGGAGGUGCCCUGGAAGAGAUGCUGAGAGCAGCCUACACUUGGACUUCACAAGACGCCACUGAGAGCAGCCUGCACUUUACACCUGGACUCCACAAGACACCACUGAGAGCAGCCUACACUCUACACUUGGACUUCACGAGACGCCACUGAGAGCAGCUUACACUUGGACUUCACAAGACGCCGCUUCUGUGCGCUUUUCCUUUGCUCCUCACCCUUUCAUACAGACUGCCACUCACCCUUGAAGACUUGGCUCAAAUGCUAUCUCCUCUAUGAAGUCCUCCCUGACCACCGCCCUCCAGUAAGACUCCAUCUACUGCGCCCUCACAGUCUUGAUGAAUCUCCCUCAAAGAGCCAGGCACUUCACUCUAUUCCUAUGAUUUGUUCCCCAGUCUAAUUCUCACCAUGAUAUAAGUUUAUUAUAGAGCCCAGAAGAGGACUUGGCCAUGAGGUAAGAGCUCAGACAGCAGAAAUAAGAGGGAAGACAAGAGAAGGAAAAAGCUGCGAGGGCUAGGCACCCACUUUACCUGCGUGACAGUAAUGUUUUCCAUCUGGAGAAAGUGUCCACCUGCAAUCCCUUCUCCAAGUGCUUCAGCUUGCCCUCAUCAGGAAGGAUGAAGAUGGCUGUGAUAUUUUUCUGGUAGGGUAUUUCCAGGAUGGUGCAAGAGAGCUUAUCGUCAUAGCCAACUUGGUAUAUGCCACUACGGAACAUCAUGGGCACCUUGACUGAACUGUUUUUCUCCAGAAAGAAAUCUUCCUCUUUAGUUACAUUUGGAUCAAACUCAUGUUUCCACCUGGCUUAGAUUGAAGAAAGACAAACAGACAUGUUAUCCCAAGGGAAAAAAGGUGACUAAAUCCAACUAACCAGUAGUCUCUCUCCACACAGAUUCAGGGUGAAAGGGGAUAUUCCGGGAUAUCAGGGAAGUCCUUGCCCUCAUGCCAUGUCCUGGAGAUUUCUGAUGAUAUGGGCUCAGGUGCAAUUAUUAGUUCCCAAAGAAGCCAGGACUAGACUGCCAAAUUAAGAGGGGAAAAGAAGACUACCAUAAGCUCAGGUUCCCCUAAGCCUGAGAAAGCCCACUGAUUAUGUCCUAACAGAGGGGACUGCAUUACAAUUAAUGAGGGCUAAUUGAGUCUGAUGUGAGUAGACUCUUCUUUAGCCAUCAAUCUGCCUGUGGAUUUUGAGAACCCUCAAUUUUUUAUAUUUAGUACCAUGUUCCUGACACUCCAGCAGUGAUUUUGUCUGGACUGAUGGGUGUUGGCCUCUGAUUCUCACCUAUUUUGGCCAACCUGUUUGUGUACAUGUGUUCUGUGUGGUGUUGGGGGAUAAAGUUGAAAUUGGAAACAUUCUUCCAUCUUUUUUUUCUGUCUCUCUCCAUCAGAUCUGGGAAAUAUAUAAAGUCUGAUAAGGAGAAUUUAUAUAAUACAUACAUAAGGAGACCCACCAAGUGAUCACCAUCACCAUAAUCAACACAAUCACCAUCUCAGGUGUCUGCUUAAAGUGCUGGAAAGCACACAGUGCUAGGGCCAGGAGAAAUGUGUUCCAGUCCUGACUGUCAAUGAUGGGCUUUGUAACUUGGAGUAAGUCAGUUAAUCUCACUCUGAUUUUUUUUUCUCAUCUAAGUGAUGGGAACAAAAUGUCAUUCCAACCUCUAUAACCAAUGUUGUGUUAGGAUAAUCACCAAUAAUGAAAAUGAUAGACUUCAUAAAGCUCAUUUCACAUACAUUUUCACUUUAAAUCUCAAUAACUGUAUGAGUUAUGUAUCAUGGUAACCAUUUUACAGAUAGGAAAAGUGAGGUUUUGAGAGAUAAAUCACAUAUGAAUUCAAGGUCACAGAGUAAACAAGUGGCCAACCCAGGUUUUUAACCCAAGUCUAGUGGUCAUCCUAUUCUUUCCACACCAACAUGCCAAAAGCCUUACCUCGAAAGAAAAUAUAAUUUGCAAGAAGCAUCACAGUGCCGGGGUCUAUAUUCUCGAUCAGGUUGUUAAUUUUCC
rnacentral:lncRNA from 10 species